rnacentral:misc_RNA from 1 species
UUUCCGUAGGUGAACCUGCGGAAGGAUCAUUGUCGAAACCUGCCCAGCAGAACGACCCGCGAACUUGUAUAAACAACCGGGGGCGGGGGGCGUUCUCGCCCCGUGCCCCCGAACGGCGGGGAGACACUCGUGCCUUCUUGCCGAACAACGAACCCCGGCGCGGUCUGCGCCAAGGAACUUCAACUAAAGAGUGCCUCCGGUCGCCUCGGAAACGGCGUGCGUGCCGGGGGGGAAUCUUGUGAAAAACCAUAACGACUCUCGGCAACGGAUAUCUCGGCUCUC